UCCACCCGCCUCUCUCUCCUCCUCCACCUCCACAUAACUCUAUUAUCCACUUCUUCCUUCCUUUCUUUUCUCCACGUUUCCUCCACCUCUCCCUUCCUUUACUUCUCCAUUCCUCCACUUCCUUAUUCCCUCCACUUCUCUACCUUUUUAUCCUCUCCUCCUCCACAUCCUUAUUCUCUCCACCUAUUCGCUUCUCCAAUCCUCCACCGUGUCACUCUUUCUCUCUCCAUCUACUUCCACCUUCCUCCAUCCCAGCUUCCUCCUCUUCCACUUCCUCUCCACCGCUUCUCAAGACUUGCUAUCAUCCCUCCUCCUUCAGCUAUUAAGAAAGGAGGGAGGAAGAGAAAAUUGGAGAGGAUAAGAGAAAGGAAGGGAGGAAAAAGUAGGUUGGAAGAUGGAAUAGAAAGUGGGAGGGAAAGAAGAAAGGAAGGAAGGAAGGGAAGAAGGGAAAUAAAGAGAAGGGAAAGGAAAUGAAGGGAAGGAAGAAUUAGAUCGGAAAAUCGAAGAGGAAGUAGAAGGGAUAAAUGAAGAAAAAGGAAAGGAAAGGAGGGAAGGGAAAACAAAGAAAAGAAAGGAAGGGAAAUAAGAGAUAGGAAGGAACGAAGUAUUAGGUUGGAAAAUGGAAGGGAAAGAAUGAAGAAGAAAGGAAAGGAAAGUCGUGAAGAAAGAAGGAAGGAAAAACAAGGAAAAGAAAGGAAGGGAAAAUAAGAGAAAGAAAGGAACGAAGAAUUAGGUUGGAAAAUAGAAGGGAAAUUGGAAAGGAAAAAAGAAGAAAAAGGAAAGGAAACUCGGCAAAAAAAUGAGGGAGGG